rnacentral:rRNA from 1 species
GACGAACGCUGGCGGCGUGCUUAACACAUGCAAGUCGAACGGAAAGGCCUGCUUUCCCUUGUGGAUUGCGGGUACUCGAGUGGCGAACGGGUGAGUAUCACGUGAGUGAUCUGCCCCCAACUUGUGUAUAAGCCUGGGAAACUGGGUCUAAUUCCCGAUAGGACUGCAGGGUGGUGCCUGUGGUUGAAAACGAUGUUCUAGUGGUUGGGGAUGAGCUGGCGGCCUAUCAGCUUGUUGGUGGGGUAAUGGCCUACCAAGGCGGCGACGGGUAGCCGGCCUGGGAUGGUGGACGGCCACAUUGGGACUGAGAUACGGCCCAGACGACUAGGGGAAGCAGCAGUGGGGAAGAUUGCACGAUGGGCGGAAGCCUGAUGCAGCGAGGCCGCGGGGGGGAUGACGGCCUUCGGGUUGUAAACUCCUUUCGACCGCGAGGAAGCCACCUGGUUGGAAGGGUGGUGACGGUAGUGGUAGAAGAAGCACCGGCUAACUACGUG